UGCCCCUCACUUGCCAAUACGUCUAGAUCAGCCAGGGCGUCGGCAUGUGUAGCGUAUUAUGUUGGGCUCUCUCGAGAUAAGGAUACGAUGUCCCUUUAUCGGUUGGUUUCCUGUGUGCGCGUCCCGUUUGUUUCUUUUUGUUACUUUCGCAUCGUUCGGUGCAUUCUGGGGGAUGUUUUGGCUUUUGGUGGCUUACUUGGCCUUUUGGCUGGGUUUGUUGCUAUUGGUCGGGCGGCUUUCGGGAAUGUCGACCGUGGAGGUGCAUGAGUGGUGUUUGGUUUGUUACGUGUGGAUGGCUGUUUGCUUGCGCAACAACGUUCACGCUGCAUACCUCUUCAGUUUUGCAGCAAGGCUUGGUUUGGCUUGUGCAUAUUGUGGGUUUCCUGUGUUGCAUACCUAGUUGAAGGAAAAGUGUGGGUUUUACGAUUUUCAUUUUCGUCUUGCGUCGUUCUUUCGGCAUGGGAUGAGCAACGAAGCGAUCUUUAUGAUCCAUCGUGCUGUUGCGUUUGCAACAAUGAUGUGGCCUAUGAAGCAUCGUUUGGUCUCUUGUAUACGGAAGCUCAUUUGGGCUUGGGUCUUUAUAAGAUCUUCGUUAUGCCCUUGUUAAGCGUUCUCGCUUCUCCUAAACGAUUG
rnacentral:misc_RNA from 1 species